rnacentral:rRNA from 1 species
ACGCUGGCGGCACGCCUAACACAUGCAAGUCGAACGAAGUAGCAAUACUUAGUGGCAGACGGGUGAGUAACAUGUGGGUAUCUGCCCUUUGGCCUGGAAUAACACGAGGAAACUUGUGCUAAUACCGGAUAAGUCUUUACGGAGAAAGCUUUAUGCACCAUUGGAUGAGCCCGCACUUGAUUAGUUUGUUGGUGGGGUAAUGGCCUACCAAGACUGUGAUCAAUAGCUGAUUUGAGAGGAUGAUCAGCCACAUUGGGACUGAGACACGGCCCAAACUCCUACGGGAGGCAGCAGUGGGGAAUCUUGCACAAUGGAGGAAACUCUGAUGCAGCGAUGCCGCGUGAGUGAAGAAGGCCCUUGGGUUGUAAAGCUCUUUCGUCGGGGAAGAAAAUGACUGUACCCGAAUAAGAAGGUCCGGCUAACUUCGUGCCAGCAGCCGCGGUAAUACGAAGGGACCCAGCGUAGUUCGGAAUUACUGGGCUUAAAGAGUUCGUAGGUGGUUGAAAAAGUUAGUGGUGAAAUCCCAGAGCUUAACUCUGGAACUGCCAUUAAAACUUUUCAGCUAGAGUAUGAUAGAGGAAAGCAGAAUUUCUAGUGUAGAGGUGAAAUUCGUAGAUAUUAGAAAGAAUACCAAUUGCGAAGGCAGCUUUCUGGAUCAUUACUGACACUGAGGAACGAAAGCAUGGGUAGCGAAGAGGAUUAGAUACCCUCGUAGUCCAUGCCGUAAACGAUGUGUGUUAGACGUUGGAAAUUUAUUUUCAGUGUCGCAGCGAAAGCGAUAAACACACCGCCUGGGGAGUACGACCGCAAGGUUAAAACUCAAAUGAAUUGACGGGGACCCGCACAAGUAGUGGAGCAUGUGGUUUAAUUCGAAGAUACGCGCAGAACCUUACCAACACUUGACAUGUUCGUCGCGACUCUAAGAGAUUAGAGUUUUCGGUUCGGCCGGACGAAACACAGGUGCUGCAUGGCUGUCGUCAGCUCGUGUCGUGAGAUGUUGGGUUAAGUCCCGCAACGAGCGCAACCCUCACUUUUAGUUGCCAUCAUUAAGUUGGGCACUCUGAAAGAACUGCCAGUGAUAAGCUGGAGGAAGGUGGGGAUGACGUCAAGUCCUCAUGGCCCUUACGUGUUGGGCUACACACGUGCUACAAUGGUAUCUACAACAGGAAGCAAGACUGCGAGGUCAAGCAAAUCCUUAAAAGAUACCUCAGUUCGGAUUGCACUCUGCAACUCGAGUGCAUGAAGCUGGAAUUACUAGUAAUCGUGGAUCAGCGUGCCACGGUGAAUGCGUUCCCGGGUCUUGUACACACCGCCCGUCACACCAUGGGAGUUGGUUCUACCUUAAGGCAAGGUUUCAAACCCUUGACCACGGUAUAGUCAGCGACUGGGGUG